GAUGAACGCUAGCGGCAGGCCUAAUACAUGCAAGGCGAGGGGGCAGCAAUGUCACCGUCGUACGGGUGCGUAACGCGUAUGCAACCUACCCACCACUGGGGGAUAGCCCGGGGAAACCCGGAUUAAUACCGCAUAAUACAGGGAUUUCUCAUGGAUUUUCUGUUAAAGAUUUAUCGGUGGUGGAUGGGCAUGCGUUCGAUUAGCUAGUUGGCGGGGUAACGGCCCACCAAGGCGACGAUCGAUAGGGGAGCUGAGAGGUCGAUCCCCCACACGGGCACUGAGAUACGGGCCCGACUCCUACGGGAGGCAGCAGUAGGGAAUAUUGGGCAAUGGAUGCAAGUCUGACCCAGCCAUGCCGCGUGCCGGAUGAAGGCCCUCAGGGUUGUAAACGGCUUUUAUCUGGGAAGAAGACCGGGGAUGCGUCCCCGGGUGACGGUACCAGAGGAAUAAGCACCGGCUAACUCCGUGC
rnacentral:rRNA from 1 species